AUUGAACGCUGGCGGCAGGCCUAACACAUGCAAGUCGAACGGUAGCACAGAGAGCUUGCUCUCGGGUGACGAGUGGCGGACGGGUGAGUAAUGUCUGGGAAACUGCCCGAUGGAGGGGGAUAACUACUGGAAACGGUAGCUAAUACCGCAUAACGUCGCAAGACCAAAGUGGGGGACCUUCGGGCCUCACACCAUCGGAUGUGCCCAGAUGGGAUUAGCUAGUGGGUGGGGUAAUGGCUCACCUAGGCGACGAUCCCUAGCUGGUCUGAGAGGAUGACCAGCCACACUGGAACUGAGACACGGUCCAGACUCCUACGGGAGGCUGCAGUGGGGAAUAUUGCACAAUGGGCGCAAGCCUGAUGCAGCCAUGCCGCGUGUAUGAAGAAGGCCUUCGGGUUGUAAAGUACUUUCAGCGGGGAGGAAGGCGGUGAAGUUAACAGCUUCACCGAUUGACGUUACCCGCAGAAGAAGCACCGGCUAACUCCGUGCCAGCCGCCGCCGUAA
rnacentral:rRNA from 1 species